AUUGAACGCUGGCGGCAUGCCUUACACAUGCAAGUCGAACGGCAGCACGGGAGCAAUCCUGGUGGCGAGUGGCGAACGGGUGAGUAAUAUAUCGGAACGUGCCCAGUCGUGGGGAUAACGUAGCGAAAGCUACGCUAAUACCGCAUACGAUCUAUGGAUGAAAGCGGGGGAUCGCAAGACCUCGCGCGAUUGGAGCGGCCGAUAUCAGAUUAGGUAGUUGGUGAGGUAAAGGCUCACCAAGCCGACGAUCUGUAGCUGGUCUGAGAGGACGACCAGCCACACUGGGACUGAGACACGGCCCAGACUCCUACGGGAGGCAGCAGUGGGGAAUUUUUGGGACAAUGGGCGCAAGCCUGAUCCAGCAAUGCCGCGUGCAGGAUGAAGGCCUUCGGGUU
rnacentral:rRNA from 1 species